GACGGAAGGUGCAAGCGUUGCUCGGAAUCACUGGGCGUAAAGGGUGCGUAGGCGGCCGUGCAAGUCUGGCGUGAAAGCCCCGGGCUCAGCCCGGGAAGUGCGCUCGAAACUGCACGGCUCGAGUGCCGGAGGGGAGAGUGGAAUUCCUGGUGUAGCGGUGAAAUGCGCAGAUAUCAGGAGGAACACCGGUGGCGAAGGCGGGUCUCUGGGCCGAAAUUGACGCUGAGGAGCGAAAGCGUGGGGAGCGAACAGG
rnacentral:rRNA from 1 species